CAGCCGCCGCGGGAAUACGAAGGGUGCAAGCGUUACUCGGAAUUACUGGGCGUAAAGCGUGCGUAGGUGGUGGUUUAAGUCCGUUGUGAAAGCCCUGGGCUCAACCUGGGAAUUGCAGUGGAUACUGGGUCACUAGAGUGUGGUAGAGGAUAGUGGAAUUUCCGGUGUAGCAGUGAAAUGCGUAGAGAUCGGAAGGAACAUCUGUGGCGAAGGCGACUAUCUGGGCCAACACUGACACUGAGGCACGAAAGCGUGGGGAGCAAACAGGAUUAGAGACCCCCGUAGUCCCUGUCUCUUAUAC
rnacentral:rRNA from 1 species